UGUGCCUACGGGAUGCAGCAGUAGGGAAUUUUCGUCAAUGGGCGCAAGCCUGAACGAGCCAAGUCGCGUGAGGGAUGACGGCCCUAUGGGUUGUAAACCUCUUUUGCCGGGGAGCAAAGUGCCGCACGUGUGCGGUUUGGAGAGUACCCGGAGAAAAAGCAUCGGCUAACUCCGUGCCAGCAGCCGCGGUAAUACGGAGGAUGCGAGCGUUAUCCGGAUUUAUUGGGUUUAAAGGGUGCGUAGGCGGACGCUUAAGUCAGCGGUAAAAUUGCGGGGCUCAACCUCGUCGAGCCGUUGAAACUGGG
rnacentral:rRNA from 1 species